CUGUAGCCCGACCUGAGUGGAGCUCAUUUUUUGGGAAUUGAUCAAUUUCUUUCGAAGAUGAAAACGUGUGGCAAAAAAUAGCGGGAACGGAGGGCGGAUAAGCU
rnacentral:sRNA from 1 species